AGAGUUUGAUCCUGGCUCAGAUUGAACGCUGGCGGCAUGCCUUACACAUGCAAGUCGAACGGCAGCAUGAUCUAGCUUGCUAGAUUGAUGGCGAGUGGCGAACGGGUGAGUAAUACAUCGGAACGUGCCCUGUAGUGGGGGAUAACUAGUCGAAAGAUUAGCUAAUACCGCAUACGACCUGAGGGUGAAAGUGGGGGACCGCAAGGCCUCAUGCUAUAGGAGCGGCCGAUGUCUGAUUAGCUAGUUGGUGGGGUAUAGGCCCACCAAGGCGACGAUCAGUAGCUGGUCUGAGAGGACGAUCAGCCACACUGGGACUGAGACACGGCCCAGACUCCUACGGGAGGCAGCAGUGGGGAAUUUUGGACAAUGGGCGAAAGCCUGAUCCAGCAAUGCCGCGUGUGUGAAGAAGGCCUUCGGGUUGUAAAGCACUUUUGUCCGGAAAGAAAUGGCUCUGGUUAAUACCUGGGGUCGAUGACGGUACCGGAAGAAUAAGGACCGGCUAACUACGUGCCAGCAGCCGCGGUAAUACGUAGG
rnacentral:rRNA from 1 species